rnacentral:rRNA from 1 species
UACGUAGGGUGCGAGCGUUGUCCGGAAUUAUUGGGCGUAAAGAGCUUGUAGGCGGUUUGUCGCGUCUGCUGUGAAAUCUCAAGGCUCAACCUUGAGCUUGCAGUGGGUACGGGCAGACUAGAGUGUGGUAGGGAGACUGGAAUUCCUGGUGUAGCGGUGAAAUGCGCAGAUAUCAGGAGGAACACCGAGUGGCGAAGGCA